ACCAUCCUUUUCAUGGGGUCGCGUUACUGCCCAAUGAACGUCUAGUGAGGACAGUACUGCUAACGCCUACACACACACACAAAAGAGAGGCCUUGUGCUCAGGGACUAGACGAUUUCUGAGGUC
ensembl:snRNA